UAUCUGUGCAUUUUAUUAGAGGUUAUAUAGUCAGAAAUCCAUGUAAAAAUAGGUAUCUUAUAUAAACAUUUCCAAUUAAUUAUACAUACAUGGCAAAGCUGUCAAUCAUACAAGAUCUGACUUGUGUAUUGGCAUACUUCAUUCUCUGUAGGGCAAUACAGAAUACAGUCCACCAACUAUCACUACCUUGUAAUCUGAAACUGUUACAGCUACAAGCAGGACAAAAUUCAAUUCAGCAAAAAACCAACAGCAAUAAAGCAACUGUGACCAACUAACUUAUUCUUACCUUAAAAGACUUUAGAUUCCAAGUGAACUGGACAGAGAAGACAGGUCACCUGGAAUAAGCCUCAAGGAAACAGACUAAACUCAGUCACAUGGCUGUCUGAAAGUUAUUACAUACAGUGUAUAGUAGAAUAUUUUUAAUAUGAUUUUAAUAAAAAAAUAUUUUCUUGUCUUAGAUUAACCCUUCAGGUUGCUUAGUGAUUCAAGAAGUUGGUAAUCAGGGAAUGCAAUGUGAAAUCUAAUGAUUUUUUUUUUGUGUUGUGGGCGAAUGUACUUGACUCCCUAACUCAGACAGUAAAUAACUAUUUUUUUUGUUUACACUGCAUUUUUAUUAACAGAUUAUCAUCCCUUUUACUAUAUGACGUGCUAGACAGCGUGCUGAGAUGGAUAGCAAGAUGAUCCUCAUUUACAGAGAUUACAAUUAAAAUGGCAUUCCAUCUCACAUGUAGAAUUUGGGGCAAUAAUGGAAAACACAGGACCAUGCGCGAGUCACGUUCAAGAAUGAAGAUGUUAGUAUUGCCUACAUCACUACAAACACCAAUACAACACUUGGGAAGAUUUUUUUUUUUUUUUUAUCCAAGUUAACAGAAUACCAGUAUGAAAUUUUACAAACAUUAAAGAAGUAUUAAACUGUAAUGUCUGGCAGACUGACUGUACACCUUGGUUACUUUCCAGAAAAGCAACAAUUUCAGGAGGGGCAGGGCAAAAAAAAUCACAGACAUUAAACUUCAACAGUACAACAUGGUUUGCAAUCAAGACACUUUUUGAACUAGGAAGCUUUAAUGUCUAACAUUGACUAACCGUUCAUUUUUAGUGGUUUACCAGAAAAAUCAAAUGUUUUAUGAGGGACAGGGCAAAAUCAAGAUCGCUCUGUAGAAACGCACAGACAUAGGAAUGCUUACAUUAGUACCUCUCAACUGUACAGCUUUUCGCAGAAUGUCCAGAUUAUGCCCCAUAUUUUUGGUCCGUUUCUCACAGAAUUGUGGUUUUCUGGCAAAUUGAGGGGUGAAGUCAGAAAAAGAUGAUUAAAUUUUGAGUUUCUAACUUCAUACCCUUGAGAAAAUUCAUACUAAUGCAAAACCUGUUACUCUAUCAAAUUUCUAGGUUUGUACGAGCAAUAUUUAAAAAGUGUCCCCAUUUUUGGCCCUUCGUCACCCCUUUACUUAUAGCUUUUUCCAGAUUUCUUGCUCUAAGAAGGUGAAAGGUAUGAUUAGCCUUUUAAGUGAAGCAUCGCUACUGAUCUUUUUAAACCUGUUCACAGAUUUUUUUUUUUUGACGUGACUUUUUAUAAAAUACUGUGUGAUACGGUUUAGCUUGUUAAAAGCAACAGUGAGCAGCUGUCAAAGUGCGCUAAUGCUGUAACAUUCUAAGCAGCACACAAACACUACUGCAAGUCCAGUGUUCUCCAUUAAUGCCAAAUUUUGUAUCACGAAGAAACUGCAACCCCCUGUGCGCUGCAUGUCUUUAUCUGUGCACUUAAAAUUCAGUAGCUGGCACAUUACAGUCAUUACACCGUUAUUCACUACACCGAUUACAGGUACAAAACAAUUCCAGAUAAAAGUGCUUGCCUUAUUUUUGGGGUAUUCUAGCACUGACACUUGCUUGAAAAAAAAUAAAUAACAUGUUCGGUGCUGGCCAGACUGCAGUGCAAAUACUUGGUGCUGGCCAGACUGCAGUGCAAAUACUUGCAGCUGCUGCUUUUUGGAAAUUUGUACCAAAGUGGGGUGGUCAAUGUAACGGAAAUAGAAGUUAUGUUCUUACCAUAACGUUCCAUGUUAGUUGUCUUCUUCUCGCCUUCUUCUUGCUGGAUGGACAACAUAACAUUUUUCCCUUUACCUGAAGGAGCACAGACCUCACACCUGGACAAAAUAGAUGGGAGGUGCAAAGAGCAGGGCCCUCUGCCAGGUGUGAUAUGUAUGGGUGUUUGUUUGGAGGGAACUUGGCCAACUAAGACAACCAUUUUGCUUUUCUUCAUGAAUCCUGUUUUGUCCUGUUUUGUCUUGAUGAUGUCAUAUACAAAUUUAUUUGAAAUGUUCCUGACCAACUGAUCUUGUUAUGGAUUUACAACAUCAGGUCAACAGUAUUUUGGGAUGAAAUGACACAGUUGAAAUACCUUUUCCUUUGGGGGGGGGGGGUGCAUGCCAAUACUUAAUAUAUUAUUAACUCUGAGGAGGUCACUACAAGUUUGCUUGCUUGGCAGUCUAAUCAUCACAUUCUCAUUUUGAACCAAAUGUCCUAUUCCUGCCAAGUCUCUACUGGUAGCCAUACUUGCUUAUUAUUGUUUACUGUAUAGGUUAUAGUGACCGUGACAUUGCACUAGUAAGUAGCCCAAACUUACUUGCAGAAACUAAUGAGGAAACAUGAAGUUAAGUACUGCUAUGUUUAUAUCAAUCUGCUCCAGCAGACUUAGGGAUCCACUAACACACAAAACUAAAAUAAACAUGGCAAUACUUCUUAAAUGUACGCUAUUUAAAACGAGUCUGCUUUGGAGUCAUAAUUAAUGCAAUUGCAUUCUAUUAGCUUAUAACAAUACUCAGUAAAGGUCAUCUCUGCUAUAAAUCAGAAAGUUUCCAAAAGCAUGCUUUUGCAAUAUCGAAAUAACCUUGGUACAAGGGAGCAGAAAUGUCUCCUUAAUAUAAAUUCUAGCAUUUGCCAGGCUUUAUAAUCUAAAAGCACAAAAGCAUGCCUCAUAAAUGAACAGAAAUACAGCUUAGAAGAACGUAUCACUAAAUUAAAAACACUCUUAGAAAUUCUAAUUAUAAAUUAAGCAGGAUGAGGCAACCAAAAAACGAGGCGAUCAAAACAGAAAGUUAUGUGCCCAGUCUGAUAAAAAGACCUACACAUAAUUUAAUUACAGGGAUGCUUCAAUAUUUAAAAAUGCAUAUAGUUUAAAUUAGUUAAAUAAAAGCUUUUACUAACUAUUUAAGCCCUAAGCUAUGCAGAGCAUCAGUACACCGACGUACUUGGUACCAUAUGCACAUUACAACCAUCUCUUUUGGGUUCUACUUAUCACAUCCUAAGGUCAGUCCAAGAUGACAUCCAGAUAAUAUGCUGGUCACAUUUACAGAAAGGAGCUGCAGUUCCUGCCAGACAAUGCAACUUUACCCAAAAGCAACCAAGUAAGGGCAGAGCUGUCGUGACGAACAGGUUGUCUGACAUACACACUUUAAAUGCCUUACACUGUCCAUUAAUUACUCUGGCCAGUUUAAGGGACAGAACACAAGGUAGAAGAACCUCUCUGUCUUUCUUCAAUGCAGUCAAUCAUGGGAAAAAAAAUCCAGCUGUAGUUUCUAAACCUGUGGUUCUAAACAUUUUGCACUACAAUGUAACAAACAGUAAAAAGGCUGAAUUAAUUUAACCAGUCUGAAAGACUUGUCUAAUUUGUAUGUAAUUCAACAUCAGCAACAACUACACAUCAGACAGCCACACUAUUACGUUAGUGUCGAAACAGCAUAUGUAGUAAAAAUUACAUAAUACAAACUCCUUGGAUAUUUGUGUCUGUGUGUGUGCGUGUACACUUAGACAUUUGAUGCAUUGUGUUUUGUUGUAAACUGCAGAAAACUGCCUGCCUGCAGAAUUCACAAUUUAAACUAACACCAAACUUGGCUUUAGUUUUUUAACCAAUUGAAAU